AUGAUUGUUAUUUUUAUUAUUUUUAUUUUACGAAAAACUUUCAGUCUGCUCGCCAUUACUCAUGACAACAUCAUAAACAGGGCCAGAGAUAAAAACCGCUCCAGUGUUGAUCGUAGCAGAUUAGUUCACUUCCGCAACACUCUUACCUCCUGCGAGCUCAAGGAGAUCCCCCUCCAGAACCGGAAGUUUACUUGGAGCGACGAGAGAAACAAUCCGACGCUUAGUAAACUUGACGGUUUUUUUUGCAAUGAGGAUUGGGACAUUGAAUUCGCCAACCACAUACUUCAUGCCCUUUCCUCCUCGCUCUCAGAUCAUUGUCUGUUGUUGCUCUCUUGCGCGGAUGGCCCCAAGAAACCCAGGUCCUUUAGGUUUGAGAACCAUUGGACCAAGAUGCCAGGCUUCCAAAAGACGGUCAGCGACGCUUGGAACGAAGAUUCGAGUCACCAAGAUCCCUACCAGAGACUUUUUCACAAGCUAAAAUCUACUAGUCGACGAUUACGUUCCUGGAGCAAAACACUCUUCGCUAAAUCUAAGGUCCAGCUGCACAUGGCCCUUGAGGUUAUUCUCCGUCUCGAUAUGGCCCAGGAACAAAGAGAGUUAUCCCAAUAGGAAAUUGAUCUUUGA
rnacentral:rRNA from 1 species